UACGUAGGAGACGAGCGUUGUCCGGAGUUACUGGGCGUAAAGGGUGCGCAGGCGGCCUGGCGCGUCGCGAGUGAAAUCUCCUGGCUCAACUGGGAGGGUGGUCGCGAGACGGCUGGGCUUGAGGCUCGGUGAGGGGCGUGGAAUUCCGGGUGGAGCGGUGAAAUGCGUAGAUAUCUGGAGGAACACCGGUGGCGAAGGCGGCAUCCUGGACCGGUAUUGACGCUGAGGCGCGAAAGCCAGGGGAGCAAACGGG
rnacentral:rRNA from 1 species